CAAUACAAGGCAGACGGCUCAGUAACGCGUAGUCAACCUACCCUAUGGACGGGAAUAACCUCGGGAAACUGAGUAUAAUGCCCGAUAGAACACUAUACCUGGAAUGGUUUGUGUUUCAAAUGAUUUAUUGCCAUAGGAUGGGACUGCGGCCUAUCAGUUUGUUGGUGAGGUAAUGGCCCACCAAGACUAUUACAGGUACGGGCUCUGAGAGGAGUGGCCCGGAGAUGGGUACUGAGACACGGACCCAGGCCCUAUGGGGCGCAGCAGGCGAGAAAACUUUGCAAUGUGCGAAAGCACGACAAGGUUAAUCCGAGUGGUUUCUGCUAAAGGAACCUUUUGUUAGUCCUAGAAACACUAACGAAUAAGGGGUGGGCAAGUUCUGGUGUCAGCCGCCGCGGUAAAACCAGCACCUCAAGUGGUCAGGAUGAUUAUUGGGCCUAAAGCAUCCGUAGCCGGCUCAGUAAGUUUUCGGUUAAAUCUGUACGCUC
rnacentral:rRNA from 1 species